rnacentral:rRNA from 1 species
GGAGACGUUCGAAAGGGGGUUACAAAAAACACAGCACUUUGCCAACUCGUAAGAGGAAGUAUAAGGUGUGACGCCUGCCCGGUGCUCGAAGGUUAAGAGGAUGCGUCAGUCGCAAGAUGAAGCGUUGAAUUGAAGCCCGAGUAAACGGCGGCCGUAACUAUAACGGUCCUAAGGUAGCGAAAUUCCUUGUCGGUUAAAUACCGACCUGCAUGAAUGGCGUAACGAGAUGGGAGCUGUCUCAACCAGAGAUUCAGUGAAAUUGUAGUGGAGGUGAAAAUUCCUCCUACCCGCGGCAAGACGGAAAGACCCCGUGGACCUUUACUACAACUUAGCACUGCUAACGGGAAUAUCAUGCGCAGGAUAGGUGGGAGGCUUUGAAGUAAGGGCUUUGGCUCUUAUGGAGA